AAUAUGAUCUACACACGUCAUAUUAAUGUACAAUUUAUAGUAAUCACACAACGUACUCAAACUUGAUUGGUUAAGAUGAUUCGCGUGGAUAAAAUUACACUCGCACUUUAUACACACCUAUUAUUAUAUUGUUUUUGUAUGUAGUUUUAGUUGACUCGCUUGCAACUCGUACCCAGAGUCUUACCUAUGAAUUGUAAAUAUAUCUCUAAAACCUUUGUGUGGAUCGUCCAUCAUUGCUUGCAACUACAUUAUCGAAAGAAUCUCUGCUUCCUGUUCUCGAUUGUCGAAGAGACGCUAAUACACGCAAAUUAUACGUAAACGAGAG
rnacentral:lncRNA from 1 species